rnacentral:lncRNA from 1 species
GCACCCUUGCUAAUUGUUCUGUUCAUUUAAACAGGAUUUAUUUCAAACAUGCAGAAAGAUAUGAGAAAAACAUCUAGCUAAAUUUAUCCCUGUGAAUUUGAUAUCAUGGAUACUAUUGAGGGAGAUCAGGCCUAUUUCAUAUCUGGAUUUCUUUCUUGAAAUUUAUGUCCUCUAACCAGAAAAACCCUUGUUUUCCCCCCUUUUUUGUCCCUAUUUGCUAAAUGAUUUGAGCUAUAAUCCCCCCUAUAACCAUCCUUUUGUAGUAUGGAAACUUGUGGU